UAGGGAAUCUUCGGCAAUGGACGAAAGUCUGACCGAGCAACGCCGCGUGAGUGAAGAAGGUUUUCGGAUCGUAAAACUCUGUUGUUAGAGAAGAACAAGGACGUUAGUAACUGAACGUCCCCUGACGGUAUCUAACCAGAAAGCCACGGCUAACUACGUGCCAGCAGCCGCGGUAAUACGUAGGUGGCAAGCGUUGUCCGGAUUUAUUGGGCGUAAAGCGAGCGCAGGCGGUUUCUUAAGUCUGAUGUGAAAGCCCCCGGCUCAACCGGGGAGGGUCAUUAGAAACUGGGGGACUUGAGUGCAGAAGAGGAGAGUGGAAUUCCAUGUGUAGCGGUGAAAUGCGUAGAUAUAUGGAGGAACACCAGUGGCGAAGGCGGCUCUCUGGUCUGUAACUGACGCUGAGGCUCGAAAGCGUGGGGAGCAAACAGG
rnacentral:rRNA from 1 species